CGGUGCGCUCCCCGCCGAGGCUCCCCUCGACGCCUGGGCCGCCGCGCAACCGCACUGGAGCGGCUUCUCCCGCUGCCGUCUUCGCGCAGAUAAUGUCUGUGCCUAUCAGAUAAAGGCAAACCAGUGCUCAGAGGAACCCAACCAUCUCUGAAUUGAGACCAGAGAGCUGUCUCUAUGGAUAGUCCUUAGAGAAGGCAUUUCGGAACACAGUAAACAGCAGCCUGGUGACUCCGAUUACAGGGCCAGUUGCCUUUGUUACAAUAAAAGCAAGUCAUCUACACAGAUUUUUCCUACCAGGAAGAGCAUGUGCUGACCAACAGACAUGAAUUUCAGCCUGGUAGUUACAACAUUCACAGUAUACCCACAUCACUAAGCUGGGAGGCACAUUUUGAGACCCAGAAUCCUGACACCUCCAUGCCUUCAAAAGGAUGAGCAGAUUCAUGUAUGACCAGAAUGUAAACCAGGAUCACAGAGCAGCCGGAGAGGUGGUGACAGAACCAUCGAUGGAACCCUGGGCUCCAGGUUCUGACUCCUAUUUUCACUCACUAAUUUUUUUUUUUUGAGAUGGAGUCUUGCUCUGUCGCCAGGCUGGAGUAGAGUGGCAC
rnacentral:lncRNA from 1 species